GCCGCAGUGGUACAGUGGUUAGAAUGCAGUCCUGCAGGUUACUCCUGCUGACUGCUGGCUGCCUGCAGUUUGGCAAUUCGAAUCUCACCAGGCUCAAGGCUGACUCAGCCUUCCAUCCUUCCGAGAGGACAAACUUACUCAGAUGAUCUCCAUUGCGCCUUUCCAACUUGAGAGGGACACGAAUCCUGUGGGCCACUUAUUUUUUCAUCUGAUUUUUCUUCUUCUACUAUCGAAAAUGAUGUGGUUGGAGAGAACGAACCAUCGUUGGCAUCCUAUAAAACUUUUAGCAACGGGGCUAAUGAAAUGCAAAGCUUUCGAACAGAAAAAGUGAACAAGAAAGAAAGAAAUUGCAUAAGAAGCUGAAAAUGCAAUAAGAAAAGAAAACAGGAGAAAACAGAAAAGAACAACCUAGAAAAUAAAAUAUAAAGAAGAGGCUUCCAAUAUGCUCCACAGCUGUUGUAAGUAGAAUUAUAGUUACGGUAAUUGUACUUGUGACUCCUGGCUACUGGUCCUUAGGAUUCCAUCUUGUCAUCAUGCUGUUCAAAGAAUUGCUUGGAAGACUCUGAUCUAAAUGUAAAUCAUGUGACCUUUCCAUGCUGCCACGGUCACAGCUGCGAAAAAUGGUCUUAAGUCACUUUUUUCAGCGCAGUUGCAACUUUGAAUGGUCACUAAAUGAACGGUUGUAAGUCAAAGAGUACCUGUAUGUUACUUGUGGUUCUGUGGAUUUGAUUAUUGGUUGUUUGGUUAUUGUUAUUGUGCAUUUUAUUAUUACUGUAUUGCGGAUUUUUCAAUUAUGCCUUUCCCAUUUGCGAGUGACUGGUUCAAAGACACCCAGUCAGCUUUCAUGCCUAAGAUGAGACUAGAACUCACAGGCUUCUGGUUUCUAGCCUGGUGUCUUAACCACUACACCAAAACCAGCUCUCUUUGUCCAAUUUGCCAGCAUAUCAAUCAAUCAGUCAAUCAAUCAAAUAAUUUGGCCGCAUUGUUUCUAUCAGCCACAGAGAUAAUUCUGAAUCACAAUGUCAAAUAAGUGAUACGUUUGGGCAUCAUCUUCAUUGCUCAGCUUUACUCAACAAUACCACUAAAGCACUCUGGGGUUUAAUUCUCAGAAGAAAAAUUAUGGAGGAUUAUAAUAGCAAUUAAAUAACACAACACAACUAUAUAACAAUAUAAUCUAACAUAAUGUAAUGCAACACAACAUAACUUAACAUAACAUAGCGUAACAUAAAGCACAGCAUAUAACAUAACUUAACACCACAUAUAACAAAACACAACAAACAUAACAUAACAUAAAACAUAAGAUGAGAUAACAAAACAUCAUGACAACAUAACAACAUAACAUAGCAUAGGUAGCAUAGCGUAGCAUAACAUAAAACAUAAGGUAAAAUAAGAUAACAAAACAUCAUAUAACCUAACCUAACCUAACCUAAUGUAACGUAGUGUAGCGUAGCAUAGCAUAACAUAACACAACACAACACAACACAUAACGUAACUUAACACCACCUAUAACAUAACACAACAAACAUAACAUAAACAUAAGAUAAGAUAAUAAAACAUCAUAACAUGAUAACAUAACAUAACAGCAUAAAAUAUAAGAUAACAACACAACACAUAACAUAACAACAUAAUACAACAUAUAACAACACGAUUUACCACAUACAUAACACAACAAACACAGCAUAAUAUAAAACAUAAGAUAAGAUAAAAAACAUCAUAAUAUGACAACAUAACAUAACAACAUAAAUCAUAAGAUAACAACCAUAACAUAAUGUAACAUAACUUAAGGUAACGUAUCAUAAAAUCAGUCAGUCCUGCAAUCAACCCUCACAUUUUCCUGUUUCAGUUACUG